rnacentral:lncRNA from 1 species
CUUAUCUGCAAUAGACCUAUACAUAUAUAUAUAUAUAUAUUAUUCGUAGUUAAAAAUACUCUUUGAUGAAUGUAAAACGCAUGUAAAAGUAAUACACAAGUAGUUAUCUACCUUUUUUUAAUUGUUAGUAAGAAGAUGAUUUUGAGUGUUUGAAGUAUGUAUUUUAUACCACACAUAUGUAUGUGUGCAUUUUUUUUUGUUAAAACUUUCUGUACUAGUCAUGAAAUCAUUUUCCCAUAGGAAAUAAAACAUGUAUUGAUAUUGUUAACAAUAAAACAAGUUUUGAAAAUA